rnacentral:sRNA from 1 species
AUAAGUGCAGUCACAGACUAAAUCCGUUUUGCCACAGAACGCAUGGAACCCAGGCAGAAGCGAUGACAGCUUCCCUAAUGGGACACUGGCAACAUGCCUCAAGCCUGACUUGGAAGGACCCCCGUGACAGCUGAAAGCACAGUUCAGUCUCCAGGGCCCACUCAAUCCAUGGCCAUC